CGAAGGGGGCUAGCGUUGCUCGGAAUUACUGGGCGUAAAGGGCGCGUAGGCGGACAGUUUAGUCAGAGGUAAAAGCCCAGGGCUCAACCUUGGAACUGCCUUUGAUACUGGCUGUCUUGAGUUCGGGAGAGGUGAGUGGAAUGCCGAGUGUAGAGGUGAAAUUCGUAGAUAUUCGGCGGAACACCAGUGGCGAAGGCGACUCACUGGCCCGAUACUGACGCUGAGGCGCGAAAGCGUGGGGAGCAAACAGGAUUAGAUACCCUGGUAGUCCACGCUGUAAACGAUGAGUGCUAGUUGUCGGCAUGCAUGCAUGUCGGUGACGCAGCUAACGCAUUAAGCACUCCGCCUGGGGAGUACGGUCGCAAGAUUA
rnacentral:rRNA from 1 species